rnacentral:rRNA from 1 species
CCUACGGGUGGCAGCAGUGAGGAAUAUUGGUCAAUGGCCGGAAGGCUGAACCAGCCAUGCCGCGUGAAGGUCAGUGCCCUAUGGGCGUUAAACUUCUUUUGUGCGGGAGCAAUAAUGGUCACGUGUGGCCAGACGAGAGUACCGUACGAAUAAGCAUCGGCUAACUCCGUGCCAGCAGCCGCGGGAAUACAGGGGGUGAAAGCGUUAUCCGGAUUUAUUGGGUUUAAAGGGUGCGUAGGCUGGGAGGUAAGUCAGCGGUGAAAUGCCCCCGCUCAACGGGGUGAAGGGCCAGUGAUACUGCCGUGCUGGAGUGCGGAUGCGGUGGGAGGAAUGUGUGGUGUAGCGGUGAAAUGCAUAGAUAUCAGACAGAACACCGGUUGCGAAGGCAUCUCACGAAUCCGCGAUUGACGCUGAUGCACGAAAGCGUGGGUAUCAAACAGGAUUAGAUACCCGGGUAGUC